rnacentral:sRNA from 1 species
UGAUAUAGGCAAACCAGGUGCGUUCAA